rnacentral:rRNA from 1 species
UACCGAGGGGGCAAGCGUUGUUCGGAAUUACUGGGCGUAAAGGGCGCGUAGGCGGCCUGUUAAGUCGAACGUGAAAUCCCCGGGCUCAACCCGGGAACUGCGUCCGAUACUGGCAGGCUUGAAUUCGGGAGAGGGAUGCGGAAUUCCAGGUGUAGCGGUGAAAUGCGUAGAUAUCUGGAGGAACACCGGUGGCGAAGGCGGCAUCCUGGACCGAGAUUGACGCUGAGGCGCGAAAGCCAGGGGAGCAAACGGG